ensembl:snRNA
GUGUUGUGUGAAAGGAGAGAAAGUCAGCACUCUCCUUGACAAGGAUGGAAGAGGCCCUCCGGCCUGCAUAACACACAUAUGGUCAAGGCAUCGCCACCUACUUCCUGGCAUCUAACCAUCGUUUUAA